rnacentral:rRNA from 1 species
AUUGAACGCUGGCGGCAGGCCUAACACAUGCAAGUCGAACGGUAACAGGAAGAAGCUUGCUUCUUUGCUGACGAGUGGCGGACGGGUGAGUAAUGUCUGGGAAACUGCCUGAUGGAGGGGGAUAACUACUGGAAACGGUAGCUAAUACCGCAUAACGUCGCAAGACCAAAGAGGGGGACCUUCGGGCCUCUUGCCAUCGGAUGUGCCCAGAUGGGAUUAGCUAGUAGGUGGGGUAACGGCUCACCUAGGCGACGAUCCCUAGCUGGUCUGAGAGGAUGACCAGCCACACUGGAACUGAGACACGGUCCAGACUCCUACGGGAGGCAGCAGUGGGGAAUAUUGCACAAUGGGCGCAAGCCUGAUGCAGCCAUGCCGCGUGUAUGAAGAAGGCCUUCGGGUUGUAAAGUACUUUCAGCGGGGAGGAAGGAAGUAAAGUUAAUACCUUUGCUCAUUGACGUUACCCGCAGAAGAAGCACCGGCUAACUCCGUG